rnacentral:rRNA from 1 species
AUUGAACGCUGGCGGCAUGCCUUACACAUGCAAGUCGAACGGCAGCACGGGUGCUUGCACCUGGUGGCGAGUGGCGAACGGGUGAGUAAUACAUCGGAACAUGUCCUGUAGGGGGGGAUAGCCCGGCGAAAGCCGGAUUAAUACCGCAUACGAUCUACGGAUGAAAGCGGGGGACCUUCGGGCCUCGCGCUAUAGGGUUGGCCGAUGGCUGAUUAGCUAGUUGGUGGGGUAAAGGCCUACCAAGGCGACGAUCAGUAGCUGGUCUGAGAGGACGACCAGCCACACUGGGACUGAGACACGGCCCAGACUCCUACGGGAGGCAGCAGUGGGGAAUUUUGGACAAUGGGCGAAAGCCUGAUCCAGCAAUGCCGCGUGUGUGAAGAAGGCCUUCGGGUUGUAAAGCACUUUUGUCCGGAAAGAAAUCCUUGGCCCUAAUACGGUCGGGGGAUGACGGUACCGGAAGAAUAAGCACCGGCUAACUACGUG